UGGGGAAUAUUGGACAAUGGGCGCAAGCCUGAUCCAGCAAUGCCGCGUGUGUGAAGAAGGCCUUCGGGUUGUAAAGCACUUUUAUCAGGAGCGAAACGCUGUCGGCUAAUACCCGGCGGAACUGACGGUACCUGAGGAAUAAGCACCGGCUAACUUCGUGCCAGCAGCCGCGGUAAUACGAAGGGUGCAAGCGUUAAUCGGAAUUACUGGGCGUAAAGCGUGCGUAGGCGGUUUCUUAAGUCUGCUGUGAAAUCCCCGGGCUCAACCUGGGAAUGGCAGUGGAUACUGGGAGGCUAGAGUGUGUCAGAGGGUGGUGGAAUUCCCGGUGUAGCGGUGAAAUGCGUAGAGAUCGGGAGGAACAUCAGUGGCGAAGGCGGCCACCUGGGACAACACUGACGCUGAGGCACGAAAGCGUGGGGAGCAAACAGGAUUAGAUACCCUGGUAGUCCACGCCCUAAAGCGAUGCGAACUGGAUGUUGGUCUCAACCCGGAGAUCAGUGUCGAAGCUAACGCGUUAAGUUCGCCGCCUGGGGAGUACGGUCGCAAGACUGAAACUCAAAGGAAUU
rnacentral:rRNA from 1 species